GUGAACCAUAGCUAGCUACUUAGAACGUAUUUCAACUUUCUAACUUGAAUGAUGUGCACCGAACCUCUGUUCCACUAACACUGUAUUAAGCUGUUGAUAUGGCAGCAAAACUUUGGUAACCUUACUGCAACGCUUCAUGAGGAGUCGGCUUUGCUGAGAAAAGUUGGAAGUACUCUCUCUGGUCACCACGUCAUCAUGUCAAGCUGUGAAAACCUCAUCAUUGGAGUUUAAACAAAUUGUGUCAAAGAACACUUUUCAGCUAAGUAUUUAUCUGAUCAAAUCUGGUUUUGCUAUAUGUAUGUUUCUUAUUCUUUUACUUGGGCUAAUGACCUCAAAUUGUAUGAUCGCUUCUGUCUCUAUAUGCUUUUGUUACAUUUCUCUACUUAUCUGAUAUAUUUUAUUGUAUUGGGUGAUUGGUUUGAGAACAUUUAUGUUGCUCCUCAGAUUUUUGCUUUCGGUCAAUGCUUGGCACAAAAAUGAAGAAGAAAAGAAGAAGAAGGAUAGAUGUGCGAUAAAGAGGCCAUCAUGGUGUUAGUAACGAAGUGUCAUAGCCAUUUGAUGUCUUUGAGCUCGAGACAACUUGUAGAGCUUUAUUAAGCGUAGACAAAACAGAGGAGAUUUCUGGCUAAAAAGAUAAGCAAAUCAUUCACUGCUCAGUUGGUUUUGCUUUAUCCAGUUUCACUAGAAAAUGCUUUCGUAAAUCACCUAAAUCCUUGUCAUUUACUGUCAUGUAGGCAGGUGGAGGAAAUAGAAUUGCAGAUCUUGGCGUUGAGUUUAACAAAGUGUUUUAAGGACAGAGCAAUGGCCGUCAUUUAACAGCCAUGCGAGCAGAUGGAGGAAAUGGAACAAAAGUUAUUUUCCUUGAAGUCGACAGAGGGAGAGGGUGUUAAAGAGGUGAGUGGGAGAUACUAAAUAAGGGAUCGUAGUUGUAAUUUUGUUGAUACUAAAUUUCCGCUACUCUCGCUUCUUUGGAAAGUUCAAGGAUGCAUCCUCCGAUAAGUAAAUGUCUAAUUACCAUGACGAAAAGUUGUACCAAGGAAGCUACUAAGUUGAUCACAAAGCUUUUGGAAAGAUAAGUAAUUUCGUCACCAUAAGAAAUAAAACAGAAUUUAGUAAAGUUUGAGAUACUGAUUAUUAAUCUUUCUUUCAGGUUUCUUAUACUAAGUUGAUCACAAAGCUUUCAGAAAUCAUUCAGGCGGUGGACAUGUCAUGGACCUAUCAGAUUCGAACCAAACUUUGUCAAGUCAGUUUUUGUCUUUCUUUUAGUUAUUCAAGAUUUUAUAGUCUUAGGUGACAUAUCUCAGAGACCAGAGAAUGGUAGAUUGGUUUACUUAGACGAUUUUCUAGACAGUUCAAUGCCAUUUGAUUGCAGAGGCUUUAACUUCAAUGACAUACCAUAGACGAGGGAAGGCUUCAGCACCACACUGUAGAAUAUGUCCUAAUCACAAUUUUCUUAUGGUUGUUGAUGGAUCUUCUAUUUAUAGGGUUGGUGAUGCUCGGCUUCAUAUGAUUUUUGUGGUCCCUUUCCCAUCCUCUCGCAUGACAUCUUAUCGUAUUGAGAGUCCUCCAACUCAUCAUUUUGUAUGAUCAAGAUGGUGAACCAUCAUAGCUAGCUCUCGUGAUGUUUUUGUUAGUACGGUGGGAAAAAGAGCCUCCUAUUGUAACAACAAUCAAGCUGAGUUUGCAAGGAAAUGGAUAGCGUUUUGCAAGAAAUUUAACCAUUGAUCUAGAGCCCAUGAUUUCUAUUUUUCCAAAGGAGCAUUAGCAGCUGCGUACUAUUACAUCUCUAGGGAAUUCUUUUAGUCCAUAACUAGUAAGUACGAUAUUUUAAGAGCUGACUUUUAUUUUUUUAUGAUCAAGCUUUCUUACACUUUACAGAUUUUCUCUUAUGAGACCACAUUUCCCAGACCAUGGGAUCCAUCUCUUGAGGAAAAGUUCCCUUGAAUAUCGUCAAUAGGUCUAUCUUGCAUUAUGUAUUUCUUUUGACGAGAAACAGAAGUAGAGCAGAGACAUUGGCUAUUUCUCCUUCUUUCAGACUUAUAAUGCUCCUUUGCUCUUCCGAAGUUAACUCUUACGGAGUGUAUGUACACCUUAAGGAAAUUUCCUGGCACAGAUCAUGGGAACGGCUUCACUUCCACAUCAAUCUCUAAUACAUGUUGCUAAAGGAUCCCUUGAAGCCUAAACAACCCAUAUCUACCUCCCUAAACUAUGCAAAUGAAAGGAGUGCUGCUCACUAGAAAAUAACAACAUUUUUAAGCUAGGUGACAAUUAUUGUAUUCUCUAUUGUUAUUUGAAAUCUUGAAGCUAAAGUUGUGAAGAUGACCGGAGAAGAGUGUAAGAACUUGUUUGUGGAACAAAAGGCUCCCUAAGAAAAGGUCUUGUUCUAUAUCAAUUGUGUGAAGAAAUGAAAAGUAAAGAAAACUAUAUUCUUACUUUGUGUGAAUAUUUUAUUAAACUUGUGUUAUAUGGGGAAGAAGAACAAGGAGAUAUAUGGAGGAUUUAAAAGGAAGAAGGUAGAAGAAGAGGAUAAACAAGCUCUCCAACUUCUCAAGAAAGAGAAAACCGACAAUUUUAUUAAGGUUCAAGAGUAUCCAUACUUGAUUUCAAUAAGAGCAAUCAAUCUGUUACGACGUUUAUGCAGGAUUGGAUGAUUGACAAUGUAGUUGUCCCUGUAGUUACUAUUUAUGGUCUUGCAAAGGAGUAUGAAUAUCUGAAGUAUUCAAUCAAUGGGUACCUAACAGCUCUGACAACAAGACAGUUGAAGUUAUAGAGAAAAGUCAAGAUUUGGAGCAGGAAAUCAAUCUGUGGAAGAUCAAAAUGUUUGGUAGACAACCUCUAUAGAUCCUCUAGUUUCUUAAGUUUAAAUCUUCUUUCCAGUACAUAUUUCAAAGCCAAUGUGCCUAACGCAUAAACAAAAAGUUCUACAUAGGUACGACUACCAGAUUACGCUAUCGACGGUAAAGUAUUUGACACCCAAAUACUUUAACAUCAAUUCCUUGAUUUCCUUCGAUAGUGUGAGCUCGGUCUAUCUCUUGAAUCUCUGAACAUAUUUCAUGCAUACACAUAUACAUACAUAUUUUCAUGCAAACACAUUCAUGCAUAUAUGCUUCUUUGAAUAUUUGCUUUGUUUAUUGCUUCGUUGCAUAAUUGAUUAAUUUGUUAAGUUGUUUAUUCUUUCCUUCUUUUACUUUUUCAUUACUUACUUAAUUCUUUCUUUGAUUGCUUUCUUACCUGCUUAACUUGUUUACUUUCUAUCUUAUUUGCUUCUAUUAAUACAUCUACUUAAGGCAUUACUUGUUCUUUGCUUCUUUGUUUAGUGCACAUUGCUUGCUUCUUUGCAUCGUUGACUUCUCUGUUUAGUUCAUUUCUUGCUUCUCUGAUGUGGCUUGUUUAUUUGCUUUAUGUAUUUGUUUGUUUCUUUGCUAUAUGUUGAACUUGUAUACUCCUUUAACUUGCUUUCUUAACUUCUUACUUGAUUUUUUUUGUUUUUUUGGUGAUAACUUCUUACUUGAUUUUAUUGUGUGUGAGUCUAACUAUAUGUCUAACAUGGAUUUUAUAUAUAACUGAAGUAAUAUUACUUUUUUUUUGUUAAUUUAUUUUGAUUAGCAUUAUUAACUUAUUCACACACUACCUACUUACUGUCCAACAUGAUUUUUGAAUUUCAUUUAAUCUUUUUAAAAAGUUAUUACGAUUAGCAUUGUUAUAUAUUUUUACAUUUCUUUUAUUCCUUAUGAUUACUAUUUUCAGCAGUAACGGAGACUUGAGAGUUUUUGUAGGAUAACAAAUUUGUAAUGUGAUGUGAGAAUUUCUCGACUCGAUGAUAUUAUGUAUGAAUGAUUAUUUGUUAUUUAUGAAAUAAAUAAGAUUUAAUUGA